rnacentral:rRNA from 1 species
AGAGUUUGAUCCUGGCUCAGGAUGAACGCUAGCGGCAGGCCUAACACAUGCAAGUCGAGGGAGAAGCCCUUUCGGGGGCAGAAACCGGCGCACGGGUGCGUAACGCGUAUGCAACCUACCUUUCACAGGGGGAUAGCCCGAAGAAAUUUGGAUUAAUACCCCAUAAUAUUAUUGGAUGGCAUCAUUUGAUAAUUAAAACUGCGGUGGUGAAAGAUGGGCAUGCGUCCUAUUAGCUAGUUGGAGUGGUAACGGCACCCCAAGGCUACGAUAGGUAGGGGUCCUGAGAGGGAGAUCCCCCACACUGGUACUGAGACAGGGACCAGACUCCUACGGGAGGCAGCAGUGAGGAAUAUUGGUCAAUGGUCGGAAGACUGAACCAGCCAUGCCGCGUGCAGGAAGAAUGCCUUAUGGGUUGUAAACUGCUUUUAUAUGGGAAGAAUAAGGUGUACGUGUACAUUGAUGACGGUACCAUAUGAAUAAGCAUCGGCUAACUCCGUGCCAGCAGCCGCGGUAAUACGGAGGAUGCGAGCGUUAUUCGGAAUCAUUGGGUUUAAAGGGUCUGUAGGCGGGCUAUUAAGUCAGGGGUGAAAGGUUUCAGCUUAACUGAGAAAUUGCCUUUGAUACUGGUAGUCUUGAAUAUCUGUGAAGUUCUUGGAAUGUGUAGUGUAGCGGUGAAAUGCUUAGAUAUUACACAGAACACCGAUUGCGAAGGCAGGGGACUAACAGACAAUUGACGCUGAGAGACGAAAGCGUGGGGAGCGAACAGGAUUAGAUACCCUGGUAGUCCACGCUGUAAACGAUGGAUACUAGCUGUUUGGCGCAAGCUGAGUGGCUAAGCGAAAGUGAUAAGUAUCCCACCUGGGGAGUACGCACGCAAGUGUGAAACUCAAAGGAAUUGACGGGGGCCCGC